UACGUAGGGUGCAAGCGUUGUCCGGAAUUAUUGGGCGUAAAGAGCUCGUAGGCGGUUUGUCGCGUCGAAAUGUGAAAUCCCGGGGCUCAACCCCGGGUCUGCAUUCGAUACGGGCAGACUAGAGUUCGGUAGGGGAGUCUGGAAUUCCUGGUGUAGCGGUGAAAUGCGCAGAUAUCAGGAGGAACACCGGUGGCGAAGGCGGGACUCUGGGCCGAUACUGACGCUGAGGAGCGAAAGCGUGGGGAGCAAACAGG
rnacentral:rRNA from 1 species